GAUAGUGGCAAUCAUUUAUUAAGCAUUGCCCUGGCCUAAGGCACCACAUGGGUCAUUUCUUCCAGGCUCCAACUUGCUUCUGCUUUGCCAUAUGGUAACACACCGUAUUAUGGAAGCACCAUCAUUACCGCCAUUUGCAGGGGAAGCCUAAAGAGCUUUACCUGCCACCCCAGGUGCUAACUCAAGCUCUUCCCAAAGAUUUUGGCUUAGCUCCAAACUGGCUGGAUAUCUCCAGUUGCCUUCGGCAAAAGAAUAUGUUCAUGACAAGGGCCCACUCUCUUGCUCCCCAAGGUGAUUUGAUAGUGUGGUUUCGGAUUACAGCCUGGCUUCCUGGGGUGAUCCAUCACAAGAAUAAAGAGUAUUGAUAAGGCCAAUGGGUGCACUUCCAUGUCAGGAUGGUUGUGUUUCUCUCGGCAAAUGAAUGGGUAGUUUCCCCAGCACCUGCAGGUGGUGAGAGUUGGUCUCAGCUCUGAUAACACAGGCUCUGCCAAAGGUGUGCCCUUGGGCUUUGGGGGAUGGAAUGGAGUCAGGGAUAGUGUGUGGUGGUGUCCAUCUGUCCUUGCUCAAAGCCGAUCUCCACCUGCACCUGUUCUGAACCCUAGCUCUGGAUGAAGAGAGCAGUUGAGUGUUGAUGAAUGGACAGAGCCAGCCCCCAGCUCUUCUGGGCUCACUGUUUGCGGGGGACUUAUGGGCAUGCUUGAGCCAUAGGGUGGUUGCACCCCGGCCCACAGGGCAGGAUCCCCAUCCACAUUCACCUCACUAGAAAUGAGGCAGCCCUUACUGUGUGAAAUGUCACAGCGUGGGGGAGUGGCGGUAGGCAGCC
ensembl:lincRNA